AAGAGACGUUGCCCUUCGGGAGUAUACCUCCCACCCUUUGUUUAUUAUAGCCUUUGUUGCUUUGGCGGGCCCGUCCUCGGACCACCGGCUUCUGCUGGUCAGUGCCCGCCAGAGGACCUAAAACUCUGUUUGUUAAUAUUGUCUGAGUACUAUAUAAUAGUUA
rnacentral:misc_RNA from 1 species